GGGGAAGUGCUGGAACUGGCAGACAGGCAUGACUUAGGAUCAUGUGCCGCGAGGCGUGCGGGUUCAAGUCCCGCCUUCCCCA
rnacentral:tRNA from 1 species